rnacentral:ribozyme from 1 species
UCAAUCCGCCAAUACCUGUCAACAGAUGUACAGUGUGAUUAUUCCGUUGUUGGUUAAGUAUCUGGCCGAGCCGGAGCUGGAUAAAGCGGACGAACAAUAUAAGAAGCUGAAGGAUGUCAUUCUGUCGUACAUUGCCG